rnacentral:rRNA from 1 species
UGGGGAAUAUUGGACAAUGGGGGCAACCCUGAUCCAGCAAUGCCGCGUGUGUGAAGAAGGUCUUCGGAUUGUAAAGCACUUUCGACGGGGACGAUGAUGACGGUACCCGUAGAAGAAGCCCCGGCUAACUUCGUGCCAGCAGCCGCGGUAAUACGAAGGGGGCUAGCGUUGCUCGGAAUGACUGGGCGUAAAGGGCGUGUAGGCGGUUUACACAGUCAGAUGUGAAAUCCCCGGGCUUAACCUGGGAGCUGCAUUUGAUACGUGUAGACUAGAGUGUGAGAGAGGGUUGUGGAAUUCCCAGUGUAGAGGUGAAAUUCGUAGAUAUUGGGAAGAACACCGGUGGCGAAGGCGGCAACCUGGCUCAUGACUGACGCUGAGGCGCGAAAGCGUGGGGAGCAAACAGGAUUAGAUACCCUGGUAGUCCACGCUGUAAACGAUGUGUGCUAGAUGUUGGGUAACUUUGUUAUUC